ensembl:lncRNA
CAAUGUUCUUGUAUUAGAAGGGCUCAAUGAAUGGUAGCAAUGCUCCACAGAGACCAGGAACUAGAGGAAGCCACCCCAGCCACUGGUCUCGUGAAGCAUACAGGACAACAUAGUGUCACAAGGAGCCCAUAACUGUGCCUACCCCUAAGACCGCUGGAGCAGCUCUGCCACUUCCGCAACUUCAGGCCCCCUGCCCCUGCCAGUACAGCUCCUACAAACACCUUUGCUGCAUGAGGACCAGUUACCUGCAGAGUGACACUUACCAGGACAAAAAUAACAUGAGGAAAUGACUUCUUUCCUCUUGCCUUUUUACCUCCUGUCAGUACCUCCUACUGGAAGAUCCUAACGGAAACCCAACAGACAAAGACCUCGCUCACUGUUCAGACACUGACUAUUCAGAGAAAAUGAUGUGCCAGCUCCAAGCGUGUUGUCUCUUCUGGGACCGCCAUUUUUCUAUUCAGAGUUACAACUGGGUUCUACAGGAUUCGUUUUCCUGGAUCUUUCAGGUUUGAGGAGAAAAAAAACCUGUCAACUCUUCAUAUCUCCCUUCCUUCACAUUCAAAUUUAAUGAUACGGUGUUAGCAACUAUGUUUUUCAUGUUGGGUGUUGGAAUUUGAGCUACCCCUACGUGUUACUGAAGAUAUCAUUUUCUCCAUUUUUGUCCUAUUUGUUUUUCAGAAAAAUUUUGGUGAAUGUAAAGGAAAUUUUUCCUCUACCAUUGAUAAUUCUCUUCUGUAAUUCAGUACCAAGCAUGUUGUACAAUCACAGUGGAAGCCAUAUCUGCCUAUACGCCUUUCCUUGUUCUUUUCCCGCUACCCAUCCCUGAAAUAAAUCCACACCAAAAUAGACUGACUAAACAUGCAAAUGUCAUUCAACCAAAAGCCACAAUGAAAUCAUGCAUAAAAGAAGGGCAUGAAGUUAUUUGAGCAAGUGAAUAAACAAAAUACAUUUAGGAAAUUGAGUAAAAUAUAUUUUUGAUAUUUUUAAAUUUUUUCCGAUCUUAACAGCAUUCAAAUACAUUAUGUUUCAUAAACUUUUUUGAUAUGGUCACUGUUCAGAGGUUAGGACUGUAUUUCUUCCUCUCUAGCUCCAGGUCCCUUUCUUGUAUGAACAUAUAUCUGGCAUCCUUUCAAAAAUAUACAGAGAGAGAAGUAGACAGUACAAGUUCUCUAAGGGCAACAUAACUACAAAUACAGCUAUAAAUAGGUAAGAGUUGUCUAAACUACAUUCUCCUCUAGAUAAAGUGAGUCUUUUUAAUCUUGUAAUUGCAGUGGGUGUGCCUAUUAUGGGGAGCAGUUCUUCCCUGAUCACCCCAGUUAAGUAGAAGGUAGCUUGCAUACAAAGUACAGCUUUGAAGGUAGGACUUGUACCAUCUUUGUAAGGUACGGGCUAUCUUUUUUAUUACAUGAGAUGUUUGUUUGGGAGUCAAAUUCAGAGUUUCACACCAAAGCUUG